rnacentral:rRNA from 1 species
AGCAGCCGCGGUAAUUCCAGCUCCAAUAGCGUAUAUUAAAGUUGUUGCAGUUAAAAAGCUCGUAGUUGAAUUUUGGAUUCUGCCAAUUGGUCCAUCUUUUAGAUGAGUACUGGUUGUGUGGGGUCUAUCCGCCUGGUGAUACGUAAUGUCCUUUAUUGGAUGUUACGGGUAGUCAGGACCUCUACCUUGAAAAAUUAGAGUGUUUAAAGCAGGCUUAUGCCGGAAUACAUUAGCAUGGAAUAAUAGAAUAGGACGAAGUUGUUUUAUUUUGUUGGUUUCUAGGACAACCGUAAUGAUUAAUAGGGAUAGUUGGGGGCAUUAGUAUUCAAUUGUCAGAGGUGAAAUUCUUGGAUUUAUUGAAGACUAACUACUGCGAAAGCAUUUGCCAAGGAUGUUUUCAUUAAUCUAAGAACGA